rnacentral:misc_RNA from 1 species
AGCAGAGUGAAAGUGUCAAGUCAACACUCAGCUGUGUUGCAGAGGAGAGAAAAUGGAAGGAAGCUCAAAGAGGAUUAACGCUAAUGGAAGCAAGAACGAGAAGGAUCUUUUUCACGUCAUUCACAAAGUUCCCUGUGGCGAUGGUCCUUAUGUUAGAGCCAAGCAUGCUCAGCUGGUUGAAAAGGAUCUAGAAACGGCAAUAGUGUGGUUUUGGAAGGCAAUAAAUGCAGGAGAUAGAGUAGAUAGUGCACUAAAAGACAAG